UACGGAGGGUGCGAGCGUUGUCCGGAAUCACUGGGCGUAAAGGGCGCGUAGGCGGCCUGAUAAGUAGGGGGUGAAAUCCUGCGGCUUAACCGCAGGGCUGCCUUCUAAACUGUCAGGCUAGAGCACAGUAGAGGCAGGUGGAAUUCCCGGUGUAGCGGUGAAAUGCGUAGAUAUCUGGAGGAAUACCGGUGGCGAAGGCGGCAUCCUGGACCGGCAUUGACGCUGAGGAGCGAAAGCCAGGGGAGCAAACGGG
rnacentral:rRNA from 1 species